ACGGAAGGUAGCAGUGGGGAAUAUUGCACAAUGGGCGAAAGCCUGAUGCAGCGACGCCGCGUGAGUGAAGAAGUAUCUCGGUAUGUAAAGCUCUAUCAGCAGGGAAGAAAAUGACGGUACCUGACUAAGAAGCCCCGGCUAACUACGUGCCAGCAGCCGCGGUAAUACGUAGGGGGCAAGCGUUAUCCGGAUUUACUGGGUGUAAAGGGAGCGUAGACGGUUUGGCAAGUCUGAAGUGAAAUGCGGGGGCUCAACUCCUGAACUGCUUUGGAAACUGUCGAACUAGAGUGCAGGAGAGGUAAGUGGAAUUCCUAGUGUAGCGGUGAAAUGCGUAGAUAUUAGGAGGAACACCAGUGGCGAAGGCGGCUUACUGGACUGUAACUGACGUUGAGGCUCGAAAGCGUGGGGAGCAAACAGGAUUAGAUACCCUGGUA
rnacentral:rRNA from 1 species